rnacentral:rRNA from 1 species
CACGUAGGGGGCAAGCGUUGUCCGGAUUUAUUGGGCGUAAAGAGCUCGUAGGCGGCUCAGUAAGUCAGGUGUGAAACCUCCAGGCUCAACCUGGAGACGCCACCUGAUACUGCUGUGGCUAGAGUCCGGUAGGGGAGCGUGGAAUUCCUGGUGUAGCGGUGAAAUGCGCAGAUAUCAGGAGGAAUACCGGUGGCGAAGGCGGCCCCCUGGACAAAGACUGACGCUCAGGUGCGAAAGCGUGGGGAGCAAACAGG